rnacentral:rRNA from 1 species
AUUGAACGCUGGCGGCAUGCUUUACACAUGCAAGUCGAACGGUAACAGGUUAAGCUGACGAGGGGCGAACGGGUGAGUAAUGCAACGGAACGUGCCAGAUCGUGGGGGAUAACGCAGCGAAAGCAGCGCUAAUACCGCAUACGAUCUGAGGAUGAAAGCGGGGGACCGUAAGGCCUCGCGCGAUCGGAGCGGCCGAUGUCAGCUUAGAUAGUAGGUGGGGUAAAGGCCCACACAGCAGACGAUCUGUAGCUGGUCUGAGAGGACGACCAGACACACUGGGACUGAGACCCGACUCAGACUACUACGAUAUGCAGAUGUGCGAAAUUUUAGCCAAUGGGCGGAAGCCUGAUCCAACAAUGCCACGUGCAGGAAGAAGACCUUCGGGUUGUAAGCUUCUUAUGUACGGCGCGAAAAGGUCCUUUCUAAUACAGGGAGCUCAUUACGUUACCGAAAGAAUAAGCACCGGCUAACUACGUGCCAGCCGCCGCCGUAA